GACGAACGCUGGCGGCGUGCCUAAUACAUGCAAGUAGAACGCUGAAGGAGGAGCUUGCUUCUCUGGAUGAGUUGCGAACGGGUGAGUAACGCGUAGGUAACUUGCCUGGUAGCGGGGGAUAACUAUUGGAAACGAUAGCUAAUACCGCAUAAGAGUAGAUGUCGCAUGACAUUUGCUUAAAAGGUGCAAUUGCAUCACUACCAGAUGGACCUGCGUUGUAUUAGCUAGUUGGUGAAGUAACGGCUCACCAAGGCAACGAUACAUAACCGACCUGAGAAGGGGGAUGGCCACACAGGGACUGAGACAAGGUCCAGACCCCUGAGGGAAGCAGCAGGAGGGGAUCCUAGGGAAAGGACGGAAGUCCGAACGAGGAACCCCGCGGGAGGGAAGAAAGUUCUCGGAUCGGAAAGCUCGGUUGUAUGAGAAGAAAGAGAGUGAGAGUGGAAAGUUCACACUGUGACGGUAUCUUACCAGAAAGGCACGGCUAACUACGUG
rnacentral:rRNA from 1 species